rnacentral:lncRNA from 1 species
UCAAACCUGCUGGGGAUAACCAUCCUGACUCUGCUAGGGAAGCCACAGACCUUGAAUCUAUUGGGAAAUUAGUCCUCACAACUCUGCUUGGGGAGAUGAGGAAAUUCCGGUACCGAACACCCGUCGACUCGUCGAGCCAGGGCAUUCCAUAUCCAACCCCAAUGUCAGCUUUCCAAUUUUGAGAACUCCCAGACUCAUCUGGACUUUUCUGAUUCAUCACCUUGUAUUCCCAACUGCUCCGCGCUCGUCGGAGAGCGAAC